rnacentral:lncRNA from 1 species
AAGAAACUCUACAAGUCUAUUUGAGAUGCGCCAUAAUCUUUAUUUUAUUCUAGUUGCGCCAAAUAUGAAUUUCGUUUUAUCUUAUGAUGAUGUGCGAAUUAUUAAAUUAUUUUGAGAUACACCAUAAUCUUUAUUAAGACGAGCAGUGAGCACAUCUACGGAAAUCACCACGCAAGCGCCAAAAAUACAUCAGGGGGGGUACCUGGGGCACCCGAGGAACCCCUGCAAGGCUACGCAAAUCAAUCAUAAGCAAGGAAUUCAAUGGCACUCCAAAUAAAGUAUAUUGCAGAAGUUAAUGCGAACGAGUAGGCAAGAUUGCCGAGGCAACCUUCCAAAAGACAAGUAUCCCCAACACAUCAAAAUGAUAAUACCAUACUACAAAAAGUACAGAAGCAAAGAAAGAAAGCUGCUAAGACAUCUCAAGAUAAAGUUCUGAAUAACAAGUAAGAUCAAGCAGAUGGGGGACAUCCUCUCCACCGUUCCCCUCAACGGGGGUAUCAAAAUAAUACCAUACUACAAAAAGUACAGAAGCAAAGAAAGAAAGCUGCUAAGACAUCUCAAGAUAAAGUUCUGAAUAACAAGUAAGAUCAAGCAGAGGGGGGACAUCCUCUCCACCGUUCCCCUCAACGGGGGUAUCAACAGGAACACUCGCAGCCAAAGAGCGGCUACCCGCAUGAACAGCGCUAACCGAAGGGAGAUCCGCCUGGGGUACCUCAGAAGAUCGCUGUGGGCUGUGAGAUGGGGGAGCCUGGGUAGCCCUCUUGUCCUCUAUCGCUUUAAGGAUGGCCGACUUAUCCACCCAUUUCUCCACCCGGGAUACCACCAGCUCAGGCUCGAUGCUCCAGACCUCAGUCAUGAUAAGAGUAAAGGCCUUGUCCAUCAUCUCCGGUUGGCGAGAUAGUAGCUCGCCAUGCUUAGACUCCCCCUCUUCCAACUUCCUAGACAAUCGGCUAUUCUCCCGGGCGUGGUCGUCCAAGCGCCUUUGCAAAGCCCUGACCUCCUCUCCUAACUUCUCUUCUCGAGACUGGC